AGGAGGGCGAUGAUGAAUGAGCAGCUGCAGCAGCUACAGAAAGAGCCAGUAAACCUCCACAGGACUCACACAAGAAGAAGAAGAAGAAAAAGACAAUGACCCAACACACCUCCAGGCUGUGUAAGGGC